rnacentral:rRNA from 1 species
CAUAGCAGUCGAGCGCACCUUCGGGUGAGCGGCGGACGGGUUAGUAACGCGUGGGAACGUACCCUUUUCUGCGGGAUAGCCUUGGGAAACUGAGAGUAAUACCGCAUACGCCCUUCGGGGGAAAGAUUUAUCGGAGAAGGAUCGGCCCGCGUUAGAUUAGAUAGUUGGUGGGGUAAUGGCCUACCAAGUCUACGAUCUAUAGCUGGUUUUAGAGGAUGAUCAGCAACACUGGGACUGAGACACGGCCCAGACUCCUACGGGAGGCAGCAGUGGGGAAUCUUAGACAAUGGGCGCAAGCCUGAUCUAGCCAUGCCGCGUGUGUGAUGAAGGCCUUAGGGUCGUAAAGCACUUUCGCCAGAGAUGAUAAUGACAGUAUCAUGGUAAAGAAACCCCGGCUAACUCCGUGCCAGCAC